AGAGUGAACGCUGGCGGUAGGCCUAACACAUGCAAGUCGAACGGCAGCACAGUAGGAGCUUGCUCUUACGGGUGGCGAGUGGCGGACGGGUGAGGAAUACAUCGGAAUCUACCUUUUGGUGGGGGAUAACGUAGGGAAACUUACGCUAAUACCGCAUACGCCCUUCGGGGGAAAGCCGGGGACCAGCAAUGGCCUGGCGCUGAUAGAUGAGCCGAUGUCGGAUUAGCUAGUUGGUGAGGUAAUGGCUCACCAAGGCGACGAUCCGUAGCUGGUCUGAGAGGAUGAUCAGCCACACUGGAACUGAGACACGGUCCAGACUCCUACGGGAGCAGCAGUGGGGAAUAUUGGACAAUGGGGCGCAAGCCUGAUCCAGCCAUACCGCGUGGGUGAGAA
rnacentral:rRNA from 1 species